rnacentral:tRNA from 1 species
GCAUGGGCUGGGCGCCGGGAAGCCGGCUGGUUUCCAACUGGUUCACCGCGGGAGAGCGCGGGCGUGCGUUCGGGAUGUACGUCUUCGCG